GAUUCCCCUAGUAGCGGCGAGCGAAGCGGGAAGAGCUCAAAUUUAUAAUCUGGCACCUUCGGUGUCCGAGUUGUAAUCUCUAGAAGUGUUUUGAUUCCCCUAGUAGCGGCGAGCGAAGCGGGAAGAGCUCAAAUUUAUAAUCUGGCACCUUCGGUGUCCGAGUUGUAAUCUCUAGAAGUGUUUUCCGCGUUGGACCGCACACAAGUCUGUUGGAAUACAGCGGCAUAGUGGUGAAACCCCCGUAUAUGGUGCGGACGCCCAGCGCUUUGUGAUACACUUUCAAUGAGUCGAGUUGUUUGGGAAUGCAGCUCAAAUUGGGUGGUAAAUUCCAUCUAAAGCUAAAUAUUGGCGAGAGACCGAUAGCGAACAAGUACCGUGAGGGAAAGAUGAAAAGCACUUUGGAAAGAGAGUUAACAGUACGUGAAAUUGUUGGAAGGGAAACGCUUGAAGUCAGACUUGCUUGCCGGAGCUUGCUUCGGUUUGCAGGCCAGCAUCAGUUUUCCGGGGUGGAUAAUGACGGUUUGAAGGUAGCAGUCUCGGCUGUGUUAUAGCUUUCCGUUGGAUACAUCCUGGGGGACUGAGGAACGCAGCGUGCUUUUUGCGAAAGACUCGUCUUUUUCACGCUUAGGAUGCUGGUGGAAUGGCUUUAAACGACCCGUCUUGAAACCCGGGGACCAAAAGAG
rnacentral:rRNA from 1 species